CUUGCCCUCCCUCUAGCCCAACCAAUACCCCAUCAUAAAGAAUUAACUAACCUAUUCAACCAAAACAUUAUAACUUAUCCUAGUAUAGGCGAUAGAAAAGACUCCUGGCGCAAUAGAGACCAACCGUACCGCAAGGGAAAGAUGAAAUAACAAUGAAAACUACAAGCAAAGAACAGUAAAGACUAACCCUUGUACCUCUUGCAUCAUGAUUUAGCAAGAACAACCAAGCAAAGUGAACUAAAGUUUGCCACCCCGAAACCCAAGCGAGCUACUUGCGAGCAGCUAAAACUUGAGCGAACCCGUCCCUGUUGCAAAAGAGUGGGAUGACUCGCUAGUAGAGGUGAAAAGCCCAUCGAGCUGGGUGAUAGCUGGUUACCUGUCUAAACGAAUCUAAGUUCUCCCUUAACCCACCCCCUAAAGACACCUACCCAACCUCACAUGGGACGGGGUUAAGAGUAAUUCAAUGGGGGUACAGCCCCAUUGAAAAAGAACACAACCUCCUCCAGCGGAUAAUAACCACUCCUCCUCCCUAUACUGUGGGCCUUCAAGCAGCCACCAACAAAAGAGUGCGUCAAAGCUCCCCUAUCAAAAAUCCUAAACCCCUUUUGACUCCCUCAACCAAAGCAGGUUAACCUAUGAUAAUAGAAGAAUCAAUGCUAAAAUGAGUAACCUGGAACCUUCCUCCACAUAGCGUAAACUUACAUCAGCAUAUUAUUAACAGACUCCAACUUAUACCGCACAACAAGCAAUACGUAUAGACCCACCUGUUAAACCAACUCAGGAGCGCUUACAAGACGAUUAAAACCUGCAGAAGGAACUCGGCAAACUAAAGACCCGACUGUUUCCCAAAAACAUAGCCUUUAGCAAACAACAAGUAUUGAAGGUGAUGCCUGCCCAGUGACUUUAUUGUUUAACGGCCGCGGUAUCCUAACCGUGCAAAGGUAGCGCAAUCAAUUGUCUCAUAAAUUGAGACUUGUAUGAAUGGCCAAACGAGGUCUUAACUGUCUCCUGCAGAUAAUCAGUGAAAUUAGUAUUCCCGUGCAAAAACGAGAAUGUGACCAUAAGACGAGAAGACCCUGUGGAACUUUAAAAUCACGACCACCUUCCUACCACUCUCCCCUCCAUCGGAUCCACCCACACAACCCCCUGGUCGACAUUUUUCGGUUGGGGCGACCUUGGAGAAAAAAAAAUCCUCCAAAUUCACAGACCAUAACUCUUUACCAAGACCCACCCAUCAAAGUACUAACAGUAACUAGACCCAAUACAAUUGACCAAUGGACCAAGCUACCCCAGGGAUAACAGCGCAAUCUCCUUCAAGAGCCCAUAUCGACAAGGAGGUUUACGACCUCGAUGUUGGAUCAGGACAACCUAAUGGUGCAGCCGCUAUUAAGGGUUCGUUUGUUCAACGAUUAAUAGUCCUACGUGAUCUGAGUUCAGACCGGAGCAAUCCAGGUCGGUUUCUAUCUAUGAACACACUCCUCCUAGUACGAAAGGACCGGAGAAGUGGGGUCAAUACUGCAAGCACACCCCAACCCUCUAAGCAAUGAACCCAACUCAAUUGCCAAGAACACCCCCACCUCACUAACACUCCUAGAAAAGGACUACA
rnacentral:rRNA from 1 species